rnacentral:rRNA from 1 species
UGUUUUCAAGUCUUUAAGAGCAAACGGUGGAUGCCUUGGCAUCUGGAGCCGAAGAAGGACGUAGCAAUCUGCGAUAAGCCUCGGGGAACUGAUAAGCAAGUUUUGAUCCGAGGGUGUCCGAAUGGGGAAACCCCGCUGGGCGGCGUGCCGACCCAGUGACUCCCGCCUGAAUAUAUAGGGCGGGUAGAGGGAACGUGGGGAAGUGAAACAUCUCAGUACCCACAGGAAGAGAAAACAACCGUGAUUCCGUGAGUAGUGGCGAGCGAAAUCGGAUGAGGCUAAACCGAGUGCGUGUGAUAUCCGGCAGGAGUUGCGCAUUCGGGGUUGCGGGACUUUCCAUACCAUUCUGCCGAGUGGUGGACGUGAUGCGUCCGAUAUAGAUGAACGGUCUUGAAAGGCCGGCCAGAGUGGGUGCCAGCCCCCGUAAUCGAAAUGUCGGACGCAGCGUGGAGAGUAUCCCAAGUAGCACGGGGCCCGAGAAAUCCCGUGUGAAUCUGUCAGGAC